CUUUUCCUCUGAACAGGUUUUGAUAAAUCUCCCCCUAUGGUUAUAAGCACAGAAAAAAUAGACACAACAGAAGGCUAUUUGGGAGUUUCCUAUUAGUUACAAGAGUUGUUGAAGUGGUUACAGGGAUUCUUGAAAUGAAAAUAUGGCUCUUCUAAUGAAUACAAAAUAAUAAUCAGCAUGUGGAAAUGUAUGGUUCAGGAAUGUAAUAUUCUAUGUCCUGUUAAAGCCAAAGCCUGCUACAAGCAAGUCUCAAAUCAUCUUCCACUUGCCAGAACAAUCUAACCUAACACAGAUCUGGGUCACAUGUGCAGUGAUCAUGGUGCUGUGGGACAGUUUUAUUCAAAAUGUUGCCUCCAGUCCAUGAUGUUAGGCCAUCGUGCUUCAAGUUCCAGCUCCAAGAAAGAGUAUCUACUAGUCAGAGUAGGAGAAUCGCUGUAUAAGGGCCCCUCUGCGUAAACAAAUCUCUUUGGUGACCUGUGAUCAACAUUAGUGCUGUGUGGCUGAACAUGUCACAGAAGUUUUCAUCAGCGUACGCCGUACACAUAGGUAUUAUGCCUGGAAGUAAAGUUCAAGUAUCUGCCGCACAGUAGGUCAACCUGUGUAGGCCCAUUAGAGUAGACGAAGACUAAAUGGACUGUUCCUGUAUCCAGUCCGAAACUGCAUUUUCAAUAGUCUCUGUACUAAAUAUUAGUGAUGAAUGGCAUAUGCCAUAUUCGAAUUCGCGAUAUUUCGCAAAUAUGAGGACGAAUAUUCGUCCCAUAUUCGUGAAAUUCGAAUAUUCGUGAGUUUUUUUUUCCAUUGCGCAUGCGCGCAUUCCAUCUGCGCAUGCGCGCUAUGACAUCAUGCGAGAACCGAGAUCAUUUCCUGGAUCUUUGCCAGUUGCUUUUCGCAUUGCGAUUUUCUGCUGCCGUGCGAAGCGAAGAUGGUGGGGAGUAA